CUCCCCCUCUCUCAAUUGCCACCUCUAUCAUUGUUCAGCCAGCUUCUCAGAUUACAAAGGGCAUCCGCCGACAGGGUUUUGCAGCACUUCAAUCUUGGCGCCUGCUGCUGUUGGUCCUGAGAGCCAGCUGAUGGUGAAAAGCUCCGAUGCUCCGCAGAGAAGCAGACCACAAUCACUGUGAGGUUGUCAAAUGUGUUGAGCCUCAGAGCUUCCAUAACAAGCUCCCUUGCACAUCUCUCAGGAUCAUCAUGCCACCGCAGGCCCCUGCGGACGAUGCUCACCGCGUCCUGGCUUGACAUC
rnacentral:lncRNA from 1 species